AGUUAAAAAGCUCGUAGUUGGAUUUCUGGCAGGAGCGACGGGUCGCGCACUCCGUGCGUGGACUUGGUUGUCUCUGGCCAUCCUUGGGGAGAUCCUGUUUGGCAUUAAGUUGUCGGGCAGGGGAUACCCAUCGUUUACUGUGAAAAAAUUAGAGUGUUUAAAGCAGGCUUAUGCCGUUGAAUAUAUUAGCAUGGAAUAAUAAGAUAGGACUUUGGAACUACUUGUUGGUUUGCGUUACAAAGUAAUGAUUAAUAGGGACAGUUGGGGGUAUUCGUAUUUCGUUGUCAGAGGUGAAAUUCUUGGAUUUCCGAAAGACGAACUACUGCGAAAGCAUUUACC
rnacentral:rRNA from 1 species